AUCCCAGAUGAUGUUGUUUUGUGAUUAUCUGAUUCAUGGGAGGCAAAUAACAAAAUGGGAGUUCGCUGAUGGCACUUUCUCCUUUGGAAUUGUUUUAAUAGUAGCUCACCAUACAUAC
rnacentral:snoRNA from 1 species